rnacentral:rRNA from 1 species
CAAUAGCGUAUAUUAAAGUUGUUGCGGUUAAAAAGCCCGUAGUUGGAUUUCUGCUGAGAACGACCGGUCCGCCCUCUGGGUGUGUAUCUGGCUCUUUCUUGGCAUCUUCUUGGUGAACGUUGCUGCACUUGACUGUGUGGAGCGCUACCCAGGACUUUUACUUUGAGGAAAUUAGAGUGUUUCAAGCAGGCAUACGCCUUGAAUACAUUAGCAUGGAAUAAUAAGAUAGGACCUCGGUUCUAUUUUGUUGGUUUCUAGAGCUGAGGUAAUGAUUAAUAGGGAUAGUUGGGGGCAUUCGUAUUUAACUGUCAGAGGUGAAAUUCUUGGAUUUGUUAAAGACGAACUAGUGCGAAAGCAUUUGCCAAGGAUGUUUUCAUUGA